CAGUAGCCGCGGGAAUACGAAGGGUGCAAGCGUUAAUCGGAAUUACUGGGCGUAAAGGGUGCGUAGGCGGUGAGUUAAGUCUGUUGUGAAAUCCCCGGGCUCAACCUGGGAAUGGCAAUGGAUACUGGCUCGCUAGAGUGUGAUAGAGGAUGGUGGAAUUCCCGGCGUAGCGGUGAAAUGCGUUGAGAUCGGAAAGAACACCAACGGAGAAAGCACUCUGCUGGGCCGACACUGACACUGAGAGACGAAAUCCAGGGGAGCAAAUGGGAUUAGAUACCCCAGUAGUCCCUGUCUCUUAUAC
rnacentral:rRNA from 1 species